UUCUCACUGUUGCCUUGGCAUCAUCCCAGGUCGACCUGACUUCUUUAGCAGCGAGGUGAACAUCUCCUGCAGCAUGCUCAUGUCAAGCCACAUGUAGCAGCUGCGAGCAACGUACGUGACACAGUGUUCAUGCCAUUGGCAAGGCUGCAGCACACUCUGUUGUCCUCGCGCAGCCGGAUGCUCCAUUUUGGAUGUCGGUUGGCCAGGAUGUCCAGCAAGUUCCAGAGCAGCGUGCUCACCGGAAGUUCUCCGGAGGAUCCGGAUGCUCACCGGAGGAUCUGCCCACCACGGACUUCGGAGAAUCCCUCGAUCUGAAGCAACCUGGUGCGCGAGCCACCGAGCAGCCGCUGACCCAGACUGGAGAGGUUCAGCUCGAACGCCAGGUUUCGAACUUGCGUCAGAGCGGCCACUUUCACUGUCACGACGACGUGGCCAUUCGCACCGUUUUUGAAAAUUACGACAAGCGCUUGGUUCCGCACACACAAAAAUAAAGUCUGAAAACACCGCAGGCCAAAAGGCCAGAA
rnacentral:lncRNA from 1 species